UACGUAGGGUGCGAGCGUUGUCCGGAAUUAUUGGGCGUAAAGAGCUCGUAGGCGGUGUGUCGCGUCGGCCGUGAAAACCUGCAGCUUAACUGUGGGCUUGCGGUCGAUACGGGGCAUCACUGGAGUUCGGCAGGGGAGACUGGAAUUCCUGGUGUAGCGGUGAAAUGCGCAGAUAUCAGGAGGAACACCGGUGGCGAAGGCGGGGUCUCUGGGCAUUAACUGACGCUGAGGAGCGAAAGCAUGGGGAGCGAACAGG
rnacentral:rRNA from 1 species